rnacentral:rRNA from 1 species
UACGGAGGGGGCUAGCGUUGUUCGGAAUUACUGGGCGUAAAGCACACGUAGGCGGACUGUUAAGUCGGGGGUGAAAUCCUGGGGCUCAACCUCAGAAUUGCCUCCGAUACUGGCAGUCUCGAGUGCGGGAGAGGUGAGUGGAAUUCCCAGUGUAGAGGUGAAAUUCGUAGAUAUUGGGAAGAACACCAGUGGCGAAGGCGGCUCACUGGCCCGUAACUGACGCUGAGGUGCGAAAGCGUGGGGAGCAAACAGG